UCCUCCCUAACUCAGUUGGUUAGAGUGUCAGACUGUUAAUCUGGAAGUCGUGUGUUCAUCCACACGGGAGGAG
rnacentral:tRNA from 1 species